UACGUAGGGGGCAAGCGUUGUCCGGAUUUAUUUGGGCGUAAAGAGCGUGUAGGCGGCCAGGUAGGUCCGUUGUGAAAACUCGAGGCUCAACCUCGAGACGCCGAUGGAAACCAUCUGGCUAGAGUCCGGAAGAGGAGAGUGGAAUUCCUGGUGUAGCGGUGGAAAUGCGCAGAUAUCAGGAAGAACACCCGUGGCUAAGGCGGCUCACUGGCCCGGUACUGACGCUGAGGUGCGAAAGCGUGGGGAGCAAACAGG
rnacentral:rRNA from 1 species